rnacentral:rRNA from 1 species
UGGGAAUAUUGGACAAUGGGCGCAAGCCUGAUCCAGCCAUGCCACGUGAGUGAUGAAGGCCCUAGGGUUGUAAAGCUCUUUCAACGGUGAAGAUAAUGACGGUAACCGUAGAAGAAGCCCCGGCUAACUUCGUGCCAGCAGCCGCGGUAAUACGAAGGGGGCUAGCGUUGUUCGGAAUUACUGGGCGUAAAGCGCACGUAGGCGGAUCGAUCAGUUAGGGGUGAAAUCCCGGGGCUCAACCCCGGAACUGCCUCUAAUACUGUCGAUCUCGAGUUCGAGAGAGGUGAGUGGAAUUCCGAGUGUAGAGGUGAAAUUCGUAGAUAUUCGGAGGAACACCAGUGGCGAAGGCGGCUCACUGGCUCGAUACUGACGCUGAGGUGCGAAAGCGUGGGGAGCAAACA